rnacentral:misc_RNA from 1 species
CCUUUAAAGGAAACCAAAAACACAACAAAAGACGACGGCACCACCACCACCACCACCACCAAGUUUAACCACUUAACUUAAAACAAGCAGAUUGAACAAUAUACUUGUUUUGAUUAGUUCAGCUUCAUCAAAACAUGCUAUACACAGUGGUAACCAUACUUGUAAUCUAGUUUGUGUAGCCUUCAUUUGGUGAGCAUAAUUAUUUCAUUAAUUUGUUUUGUUCUUGCGAUUCAGAUUUUGUUCGGUGUAUCUAGUUCGAGCUAAUUUUCUCCUUGGCUUUUCAUGCCUUUAAAUUUGCAUUGUAACCAAGUCUAAAAGGUGUUCGAAUACGUUAUAUAUUAAGAAGAAGAAUGGAAAUUAUUUUGGGAAGAGAGCAUAACUUAAGCUCUCUUCCCAAAAU